rnacentral:rRNA from 1 species
UGUAAGCGUAUACCAAAGUUGUUGCAGUUAAAACGCUCGUAGUCGGAAUUUGGCAGUUCCGGAUGUGUGCACGUCGUGUGCGCACUUCGCGGGGAUUGCUUUUGUGGUCUUGCGUAGGAUGAGGCACUUUUAUUAGUGAACGUCCUCACGCAACCACUUUUUACUGUGAGAAAAUCAGAGUGCUCAAAGCAGGCAUUUGCCGUGAAUGUAUUAGCAUGGAAUAAUAGAAUAGGACUUGGUUCUAUUUUGUUGGUUUGUUGGGACCGAGUAAUGAUUAAGAGGGACAGUUGGGGGCAUUUGUAUUUCGGUGCUAGAGGUGAAAUUCUUAGAUUACCGAAAGACAAACUGCUGCGAAAGCGUCUGCCAAGGAUGUUUUCAUUGA